rfam:Picea glauca, whole genome shotgun sequence.
UCAUGUAAUUAUUCCUACAACGUUAAUGCACCAGAUCCCAUCAAGACUCCAAAGUUAAGCACACUUGGGCUAGAGUAGUAUUGGGAUGGGUGAGAUCAUGUUAAGUCCCGGUGUUUUACAUGCC